rnacentral:rRNA from 1 species
UACGGAGGGGGCGAGCGUUAUUCGGAAUCAUUGGGCGUAAAGGGCGCGUAGGCGGCCCGGUAAGUCAAAGGUGAAAUCCCUCGGCUCAACUGAGGAACUGCCUUUGAAACUGUCGGGCUUGAGGCCGGGAGGGGGUAGCGGAAUUCCCAGUGUAGCGGUGAAAUGCGUAGAUAUUGGGAGGAACACCAGUGGCGAAGGCGGCUACCUGGACCGGAACUGACGCUGAUGCGCGAAAGCGUGGGGAGCAAACAGG